AAGGCAUUAUCCAAUUAGUCAUGCCAUAAUGUCUCACUUUGUUGGCAGCUAGGUGAAGUCCUUGAGUGCCUCAAGGACUUUGUUUUGUUUUAGCAGUAUUUUUUCCUUCAACAAUUAAUCUUGCAUCUCCAACCGUGGAAUGAGUUACAUGUGACUCGAGACAAACAAACAGUGCAAUUGCAACAAUAUAAUUAGUCAGCGGUAUGGUCACUAUCAGCAGCUUUACACACAGUGUGCAUCGUGAAUACAUCAAUCCCAGA
rnacentral:lncRNA from 1 species